rnacentral:rRNA from 1 species
UACGAAGGUCCCAAGCGUUGUUCGGAAUCACUGGGCGUAAAGGGCGCGUAGGCGGCGUGGUAAGUCAGCUGUGAAAUCCCGGGGCUCAACCCCGGAACUGCAUCCGAUACUGCCAUGCUAGAGGAUUGGAGAGGUAGCUGGAAUUCUUGGUGUAGCAGUGAAAUGCGUAGAGAUCAAGAGGAACACUCGUGGCGAAAGCGAGCUACUGGACAAUUCCUGACGCUGAGGCUCGAAGGCUAGGGUAGCGAAAGGG